AGCUCCAAUAGCGUAUAUUUAAGUUGUUGCGGUUAAAAAGCUCGUAGUCGUACUUCGGGCGUGCCCGCUGGUCCGUUCUUCCGGUUAAAAAGCUCGUAGUCGUACUUCGGGCGUGCCCGCUGGUCCGUUCUUCGAGAAUGUGUAUCGGUGCGGUGCGUCUUGUUGCACGAAAUGCGCUCCUGGGCUUCACUGCUCGGGACGUCGGUCGUGCGUUGUCACUUUGAGUAAAUUAGAGUGUUUAAAGUAGGCGUGCGCUCUGUAUAUGUCAGCAUGGGAUGACACGAUAGGACCUCGGUCCGUGCGUCGGUCUGCGGGUCCGAGGUAAUGAUCGAUAGAGACGAUCGGGGGCGUUGCUAUUUCGUUGUUAGAGGUGAAAUUCUUGGAUUUACGAAAGAGCAUCAAAUACGAAAGCAUUCGCCAAGGGCGUCCUCG
rnacentral:rRNA from 1 species